GUGAAUCAUCAAAUCUUUGAACGCAUAUUGCACUAUCUGGUAUUCCGGAGAGUAUGCCUAUUGGAGGGUCAUUUGAAAUAAUAUAAAGUUCGAGAUUUUCUUGAAAUCAAAAAUGGGUCGGUUCAGCUUUCGUGUGGUUGUCGCCUAAAAUGCAAAACAAGCUCAUUGCUUGGGUUGCGUUAUGCUUUCAGUUACCUCGGGACUUCACAAGAAAUCUUCGAGCGUGUUAAGUAUUGUGCAAGAAAUAAACUUCAUCUAUCUCAGGCUCAAGAGUAAAU
rnacentral:misc_RNA from 1 species